rnacentral:rRNA from 1 species
GAGUUUGAUCAUGGCUCAGGAUGAACGCUGGCGGCGUGCCUAAUACAUGCAAGUCGAACGCUUCACUUCGGUGAAGAGUGGCGAACGGGUGAGUAAUACAUAAGUAACCUGGCAUCUACAGGGGAUAACUGAUGGAAACGUCAGCUAAGACCGCAUAGGUGUAGAGAUCGCAUGAACUCUAUAUGAAAAGUGCUACGGGACUGGUAGAUGAUGGACUUAUGGUGCAUUAGCUGGUUGGUGGGGUAACGGCCUACCAAGGCGACGAUGCGUAGCCGACCUGAGAGGGUGACCGGCCACACUGGGACUGAGACACGGCCCAGACUCCUACGGGAGGCAGCAGUAGGGAAUUUUCGGCAAUGGGGGAAACCCUGACCGAGCAACGCGCGUGAAGGAAGAAGUAAUUCGUUAUGUAAACUUCUGUCAUAGAGGAAGAACGGUGGAUAUAGGGAUGAUAUCCAAGUGACGGUACUCUAU